rnacentral:rRNA from 1 species
UACCCUCAGCACAAGUGGUGGUCAUUAUUAUUGGGCCUAAAGCGUCCGUAGCUGGCGUGUUAGAUGCCUGGGUAAAUCGAUGCGCUUAACGCAUCGAACUCCGGGUAGACCGGCACGCUCGAGACCGGGAGAGGCAUGGGCUACUCGCGGGGUAGGGGUAAAAUCCUGUAAUCCUGCGGGGAGGACCAGUGGCGAAGGCGCCAUGCUAGAACGGCUCUGACAGUGAGGGACGAAGCCCUGGGGCGCAAACCGG